ensembl:ncRNA C48D5.6 ncRNA
GACGCAGAGAUUCAAGGAAACGCAAGUGGGAGGAGGUCAAAAGAAAUGGCUUCAUCUCCUUCUUCGCUUUCACACUAAGCUGUUUCUCGCCAAAAACAUAUCCGCUUUCGCACUUUACCAACAAAAAGAGAGCGGCGGUCAAAUUGU